UACGAAGGGGGCUAGCGUUGUUCGGAAUGACUGGGCGUAAAGGGCGCGUAGGCGGCUUGCACCGUCAGAUGUGAAAUUCCUGGGCUUAACCUGGGGGCUGCAUUUGAUACGUGUGGGCUUGAGUGCGGAAGAGGGUCGUGGAAUUCCCAGUGUAGAGGUGAAAUUCGUAGAUAUUGGGAAGAACACCGGUGGCGAAGGCGGCGACCUGGUCCGUGACUGACGCUGAGGCGCGAAAGCGUGGGGAGCAAACGGG
rnacentral:rRNA from 1 species